rnacentral:rRNA from 1 species
GGCUCAGGAUGAACGCUGGCGGCGUGCUUAACACAUGCAAGUCGAACGAAGCACUUAUGAAAGAUUCUUCGGAUGAUAGAUUAAGUGACUGAGUGGCGGACGGGUGAGUAACGCGUGGGUAACCUGCCUCAUACAGGGGGAUAACAGUUAGAAAUGACUGCUAAUACCGCAUAAGCGCACAGGACCGCAUGGUCUAGUGUGAAAAACUCCGCUGUAAGAUGGACUCGCGUCCAAUUAGAUAGUUGGUGAGGUAAUGGCUCACCAAGUCGACGAUUGGUAGCCGGACUGAGAGGUUGAACGGCCACAUUGGGACUGAGACACGGCCCAAACUCCUACGGGAGGCAGCAGUGGGGAAUAUUGCACAAUGGGGGAAACCCUGAUGCAGCGACGCCGCGUGAGUGAAGAAGUAUUUCGGUAUGUAAAGCUCUAUCAGCAAGGAAGAAAAUGACGGUACUUGACUAAGAAGCCCCGGCUAACUACGUG